rnacentral:lncRNA from 1 species
GAGCUGAGAUCGCACCACUGCACUCCAGCCUGGGUGACAGAGUGAGAUCCUGUCUUGAAGUAAAAGUAAAUAAAUAAACAAAUAUAAAGGAGAAGAUUUUGAGGCUGUAAACUUUCCCUUCACUAGUUUUAGCACUUUAAAAAUGCAUCACUGAGUCGGCAGUGUGCAGUUUUGCUGUUUCCUUUUAUUUUUGGAGUGAACUCUGCUCUUCAUUCAAAAUUGUCAUAGUAAAUUUGGGCCCAUGAACUCCUAAAUAUCUCUGCUUUUCUACCUCUUGGCUCCAAUCAGCUUAAAGUCCUUGCAAAGAAAGAAAUUGUGCCCUGUCUCUCAGCGUCGACCAUAGCAGAGAGCCUGGGACAUGAAUGGGUGUCAUUAUUUAUCUGCUGAACAAAUAGGCGGAGAGGAGUGAAUCCCUCGUUCUGAUGUUAUAUUUCUUCAGUUGAUCAGUGGAAGAUGCUCUCACUCUCCUGCCCACCAGUUUCACUCAAAACCAGUCUUUGCCAUUGCUAAAUAACAAGUAUCUUCAUUGUAAUUGUACAGGGCCAGAUAGAAAGAUUGGCUCUGGACCUUGUGCCCCAAGGACCAAUAAAGUUGCAGUCAUUCAGAAAUAGUUCCAGAGCCAAAGCUUCCCUAUUUAAAGUGCCUACAUCCAAUUCUUUAGAGUUAAGCUUGGUACCAUUAGUUGAGUCUUCCUGUCACCUCUCAAGGGACAGUGGCAAGCUCUUAUGUAGCAUUUGUCCUAAUUUUCUUGCUGGUAUCAAUGUCCCCAG